rnacentral:rRNA from 1 species
UUGACAAGGGCUUUCUACCUACACCUUCCUGAGUGACGUUCAUCUUGAGCGGUGUGCUUUUCCUUUAGAGUGUCUUUCAAGAGAAAACACGGAACGUUCUAGAUUACCGGUCUUUAUGAAAGUUGUGGACUUAGACUGGGUGACGAAACUUAUCUUCUUAUGACAACUUAAGACGUUUAAGUUACUUCAAACAGUCCUUAUAAACUCCGACAUUUUCACGCGGUAUGAUAUAUGCAGUUACCUGAGCGGUUUUGGUAGUGCGCCGACGUUGACUAACUCGUUGACUUGACGUCGGAGGGGCUCAAAGUAGGACACUAUACAAGACCUCUCUUGAAGUAGGCCACUAAUACUUCUUCUUAGUCGUAUUCAAUUCUUGUAGACUAGCUUUAUCGGGGGGCAUCGAAGGAGCUACUGAAAUGUCUACGCUAGACGUAUGUAUAUAUCAUGGAAAAAGGGUUUCCCAACACUACUUAUGAUCCUAAAAUGCAUCUUCCUCGUUACUUAACAACAUAAGACAUGUAUGCGCUGAUACGUGCAAGUUAAAAGUCGUCCAUUUAAACAU